CUUUCUCGCGUCCGCAGUGUCCCUGAGGGUCCGCGUCUACACGCGGCUGUGAGGAAGGAAGGCGCGUGCCGCGUGGGACGGGCUCCACCUGCCUGCGGACAGAUGGAGGGUCACUUUGUUCCGAGAAGACCCAGACACCCGAGGGAGGAUGUGAAACGGAACGACCCGUUUCGGUGCGGUUGGCUUUGUUUAUUUGCCUACUCCCCAGACGCCUCCAGCCUCUGAUUCCGGCACACCCUGUGAGGAAGCAAACGGCUGCCUCCCCCACUGCCACCAGACGAGGUCGCCUGCCCCGAGCCGGACAGGCUGGACAGGCUGCGCACCUGCGGCGGCCGACUAUUUCGUGGGCCUUGUACGCCACCUUGCAGAAGGGAAGCUGUGAGGUUUUGGCGAUAGAAGCGCAUUUACUUGUGUUUUAAAGCCCACAAACGCCGUAGUGACUAACUUAUUCAUUCAGCAAAUGUCUGUCAGAGCGUCUAUUACGUACCAGGCAUGUAGCCUGAACUUCACGCCUGUCCUCAUGGAGCUUGCAGAGCACCUCUGAAAUACACACCACAUACGGAAUGGCCAUAUUUUCUGGGUUGUAAAAUACUUUGAAUUGUAACUCCAUAUAUUGAAUAGAUUUUCAGUAGUGAGGGAAGAAACAAUACAUUUAGUUCAUAUAAUCCAUAUGUACGAAAAAGAAGUGCUGGUAAUUCCAGACAUGGAAGUCAGUAAAACUAGGAGCUAAGAGAGUAAUAACAGGAUGGAGAUGGAGUUUCAUGACAAAAAUGAAGGUGAAUAUGAUGUGGAAAAUACAAAGAUGGAAGCAACAAGCUAAGGAUGCUGGGGCAGAAAGAUGGAACCUGGGUUACUCAUGACAUCUUGAAACUGCUGCAGCCAUCCUAGACUGGCUGCCUCUAGACUUAAUAUGUUUAGAAAGUAAAUCCCAAUUUUAUUAAACUGUUAUCUGUUAUGUAUAUAUGAACACAUUCUUAGCUAAUAAACUAUCAUGUCUCCUAACUAGUCUUCUAGGCUCUACCAGUUAGAUAGUAAUGUGAGUUGGUAUGUCAGAAAUACAAGAGCUGUCACAAAGCAAUACAACUCCUAUAACAUUUCCUGAUAAUUCUGUAAAUAUACCAAAUCAUUGUAAGAUUAAGAAACAUGUUAAUUAAAAACAGGAAGUAGAAGAAAUAACGAUGCCCAUAGUUGAACAUUUUAAAGUCUCAUUUUGGCCACGCAGUGGCUCAUGCCUGUAAUCCCAGCACUUCGGGAGGCUAAGGCAGGAGGAUCAGUUGAGAGCAGGAGUUUAAGAGCAGCCUGGCCAGCAUGGUGAGACCCCUAUCUCUACGGAAAAAAAAUUUUAAUUAGCUGGGCACGGUGGCAUGCAUCUCUAGUCCCUGCUACUCGGAAGCUGAGGCAGGAGGAUUGCUUGAGCCCAAGAGGUCAAGGCUGCGGUGAGCUAUGGUCACACUAUUGCACUCCAGCCUGGGCAACAGAACAGGACCCUGUCUAAAUCUCAUUUUAACACUUUGAUAUAGUUAUAAUCUGUCUUAUUUAUUCAAGGUAUUUUUCUAUAUUAUUUUACCUAACAUUAUAUCAUAAACAGCUUUCCAUGUUAAUAUUGUCUUUUAAACAAAUAGCUCUUCAAUAUUCCAAGUAAUUAUAGUAUUUUUUGCUUAUUUAGUUCAUUCUAAUUGCACAUGUUCACUUUUUUUCAUAACUUAUUCACUGCGUAUCUACUACAUUCUAGUAACUGGACUAAAUAUUAUAAGUACACAUAGAUGAAUAAGAUGUGGCUCCUCCCUGAGCACUCUUCAAAACUACAAAAGACACAUGUACAUGCAAUAUAUAUGUAUAUAUGGCGUAUGUGUGUGUAUACUUUUUAUAUGUGACUCUAAGCUAUUUAAUAAGCUAUUUAAUUAUCUUUAUUUUUUUAAUUUCUUUUUUUUGAGACAGGAUCUCACUCUGUCCCCUAGGCUGGAGUGCAGUGGCGUAAUCUUGACUGCAACUUCUGCUUCCAGGUUCAAGUGAUUCUCCUGCGUCAGCCACCUGAGUAGCUUGGAUUACAUGUGUGGGCCACUGCGCUCAGCUGAUUUUUGUAUUUUUAAUAGAGACAGGGUUUCACCAUGUUGGCCAGGCUGGUCUCAAACUCCUGGCUUCAAGCAAUCCACCUGCCUAGACCUCCCAAAGUGCUAGACUACAGGCAUGAGCCACUGUGCCUGGCCAAAUUAUCUUUAAAUAUGCUUAUAGAAUGGAAAUAUUUUAAUUUCCAAUUCCUUUUAUUGAUAAUUUCUGUCAUUCUUAUCUGCUGGAUUUCCCUUUAGCAUGACUGAUCAGUUAUCAGUAGAGUACUUACAAUGAACAGUUUAUUAAUAUAAAAGCCAUUCCUUCUUACUUGAAUUUCAAGUGACCCAAGGCCUCCGGUUUUCAUUUUCAUUAACAGUAAGUGCUAUCAAAUGUAAAUACCAAUAUUCUAUUGCUUUCUGUUUUCAUAAUUGUUAGUUAAUUUCCUAACAUCCUUCUUGUGGAAAGAUAAUCAUUUUUGGUUACCACAUAAGGAAACUGUGAAUAACAUGACUCAGAGCAGAAUGAAAAACCUGAGAUUUGAAAACAAAGGCUUUAGUAGCUUUGCUGUACUAAAAGACAGUAUUCCCCAUGCUGUAUAUGGGAAAUACAGCCAACUUGCAUAAAUGGCAGACUGACAACUCCUUAUCUAAGAGAGCUAAGUCCAAGCUAUAACAUUUUCUAUGAGUGUAUAUGUAAGAGUAAUUUAUUCUUUAACUCAAAAUUGCGUAUGUGCAUGAAUCUCAUAUAUCUAAAGUGAAAGAGGCUGGAUGCAGUGGCUCACACCUAUAAUCCCAGUGCUUUGGGAGGCCAAGGAAGGAGGAUUGCUUGAGGCUAGGAGUUUAUGACCAGCCUGGAAAACAGUGGGACCCCAUCUGUACCAAAUUUUUUUUUUUUGCAGGGACGGAGUCUUGCUCUGUUGCCCAGGCUGGAGUGCAGUGGCAUGAUCUCUGCUCACUGCAAGCUCUGCCUCCCGGGGUCACGCCAUUCUCCUGCCUCAGCCUCCUGAGUAUCUGGGACUACAGGUGCCUGCCACCACACCCAGUGAAUUUUUUGUAUUUUUUAGUAGAGAUGGGGUUUCACCGUGUUAGCCAGGAUGGUCUUGAUCUCCUGACCCCGUGAUCCGCCCACCUCAGCCUCCCAGGGUGCUGGGAUUACAGACGUGAGCCACCGCGCCUGGCUACCAAAAAUUUUUAAAAAGAAAUUUGCCAGGCAGGGUGGCAUGCACCUACAGUCCCAGCUACUAGGCAAUUGAGGCAGGAGGAUCACAUGAGCCAAGGAGGUGGCGGUGAGCCAUGGCCACAUUACUGCAAUCUAGCCUGGGCAACAGAGCAAGACCUUGCCUCAAUAAAUAAAUAAAUAAAUAAGCAGUCUCAUUACUGCA
rnacentral:lncRNA from 10 species